rnacentral:rRNA from 1 species
GAUGAACUCUAGCUACAGGCUUAACACAUGCAAGUCGAGGGGCAGCAUGGUCUUAGCUUGCUAAGGCCGAUGGCGACCGGCGCACGGGUGAGUAACGCGUAUCCAACCUGCCUUACACUCUUGGACAGCCUUCUGAAAGGGAGAUUAAUACAAGAUGUUAUCAUGAGUAAGCAUUUUCGCAUGAUUAAAGGUUUACCGGUGUAAGAUGGGGAUGCGUUCCAUUAGAUAGUAGGCGGGGUAACGGCCCACCUAGUCUUCGAUGGAUAGGGGUUCUGAGAGGAAGGUCCCCCACAUUGGAACUGAGACACGGUCCAAACUCCUACGGGAGGCAGCAGUGAGGAAUAUUGGUCAAUGGACGAGAGUCUGAACCAGCCAAGUAGCGUGAAGGAUGAAGGUUCUAUGGAUUGUAAACUUCUUUUAUACGGGAAUAAACGGAUCCACGCGUGGAUUUUUGCAUGUACCGUAUGAAUAAGGAUCGGCUAACUCCGUGCCAGCAGCCGCGGUAAUACGGAGGAUCCGAGCGUUAUCCGGAUUUAUUGGGUUUAAAGGGAGCGUAGAUGGGUUGUUAAGUCAGUUGUGAAAGUUUGCGGCUCAACCGUAAAAUUGCAAUUGAUACUGGCAGUCUUGAGUACAGUUGAGGUAGGCGGAAUUCGUGGUGUAGCGGUGAAAUGCUUAGAUAUCACGAAGAACUCCGAUUGCGAAGGCAGCUUACUAACCUGUAACUGACAUUGAUGCUCGAAAGUGUGGGUAUCAAACAGGAUUAGAUACCCUGGUAGUCCACACGGUAAAC